rnacentral:rRNA from 1 species
UACGGGGGGGGUAAGCGUUGUUCGGAAUUACUGGGCGUAAAGGGCUAGUAGGCGGCCAACUAAGUCAUACGUGAAAUCCCUCAGCUUAACUGGGGAACUGCGUGUGAUACUGGAUGGCUUGGAUUUGGGAGAGGGAUGCGGAAUUCCAGGUGUAGCGGUGAAAUGCGUAGAUAUCUGGAGGAACACCGGUGGCGAAGGCGGCAUCCUGGACCAAUAUUGACGCUGAGGAGCGAAAGCCAGGGGAGCAAACGGG